GCAUCACGGCUAGCACCCCUCCCUUGUUUCCUGCUCGCCUUCUUUGUGCUCUUCCUGGUUCGCGUGUUUUGAUGUCCCUUGUGUCUUACGCAGUGUCUUCCCUGUUGCCUGUGAUCGUGCCUUGCCUCACGGCCUCCACCCAGAUCUCUGCUUGCCUCCCUCUACCCUCGACCCCUGCUUGGACUCGGACAUUGUUGCCUCUCUCCAAUCCCCGACUGCUCGCUUCCCUGCUGACUACCUCUUUGUCUUGCCCCUUGGAUUUGACGAAAGAUUCACACAAAACGCACCGACAACAACCCCUGCGCAAACGCAUGCCGCUGCACAUUCUUCAUUGAGCUACGCGGAGCACGCCUCGGGACAUGCCAACGGGCGCUCAUCUCCUACUGCAGCUGGAGGCUGCAAUCUAUCAGCAAUCAGCACACCUGAAACUGAUGACCAGACCUGCCUUCAUAAGCCUGCUCAACCUGCUAUCCCGUGCCAGAACUUAACAACCUGUCCUGUAUACGUACCUCUGUUUCCACGUCACGAGUUGUGUGUCUCGUCUUCCCGCGUUCCCUCCGUUUCCCUGGCUGCCUCUUGGAUCUCGACAUCCCACCUGGACACGGACCUCUGACGCCUCGCUAUCGCCCCGACUACCUGCUUGUCUCACGGACCUUCGAGCAUGCUUUUCCCUCAUUGGACUCCCGCCUCUCUUGCUCAACUCUCACGGUAACACUCAGCUUUAAAUUCCUGCACAUAGUAACACACCAUACACUUUUGGAUUUAGU